rnacentral:tRNA from 1 species
GGAUUCCAUAGUGUAGUGGUUAUCACGUCUGCUUUACAUGCAGAAGGUCCUGUGUUCAAGCUCCAGUGGAACCA